ACCCUAAUUCCCCAUUCUCUCCUCCCGUCCCCUCAGCCGCCACCACUCCACCAAUCUCCCCCCGCCCGCUCCACGCUGGCGCCGCCGCAGAACAGGCCUUACCUGUCCCGAUCCAUCGAUGCCCUCUCUUCUCCCCUCUAUAUGCGUCGCCCCGUCCCCAUCUUUCCCACCGCUAUGGCCACCAGCCCGUACCUCCCACCCCAUUCCAGAUCACGCCCUCGAGCUGCGGCGACAGUGGUGGCAGCGGGUCCAACUGCUGCGGCUGGACGACGGUUGACGCCGUCUGCGCAGAUCAGUUCGCCUUCCUGGGUCGCAGUCAAGCAGAGCAUGUGCCACGGCGAUCUACGCUGCCCAUCUUAACCAGAUCGACGCUGAUGAGAGGUCUCUAAUGUCCCUUGCAGUGGCCACGGGUCCAUCUUCGGUCCACGGCAAGCUAUGGUGAGGUACACAUGGCGCUGAUGGAUGCAGUGUACAGGGGCGCCACCGCCACGCAGCUGGCCACCGGCUUCUGCCUGCUGCGGUACCGUGACGAGCACUGCUUCUCGGCUUUGCCAGGGCCCUCCCGCCCCGUGUUUAUGUGCUGAUCCUCGUCAUCAUCUUCGUCGGAUGGUUUUCUUGGAAGUUGGUCUUGUAUCAUUUCUACUUCAAGGAAAUGAAGCCACUGGUUAUGGUCUCUUUGGCACACAACUUAAUUUGUUAUCUCUGAAACUGUAGCCGGCUGUAGCCAGUGCUGAUGUACUUCUCAAGCGCUCCAUCACGGGCUCAAAGAGUACUCCAGCCGAACCACACUCCCACGGCUCUACGUCGAUGACGAGUUCUUUGGUGGCCGCACUGUUGGAUAAUUGGAGCUCGGAGACCAUGGUCAUGGUGUUGUUUGUACAGAAACCUGCGCCGACUUCCUUCUACAAUUAACUUUUAAGAUGUAAUUUUCCAUUAGUGAGCAUGGUAAUGCCCCUGAACCCCAUUCUCAUCCCAUUACAGCGGGCUAGACGUCGUCCUCCUCGAUGCGGCCGUCCCCGACGAGCUAUCUUGGCCAGAGGAGGCGGAGCAGCAAGGCCUUCUAUCAUCGUGCAUGGACCGACAGUUGCAUCCUCCUGCUCUCCUAGUGUGGAAGAAUAAUUCUUGCAGAUGUGAGGGAAGAACUUGUGGAGAGGCUUGCCUCGCUCUUCACAGAGGGCCAAUGCAUACUUGUUUUACUUCUGGAUGAACUUGUAUCUCUAUAUAUGUUUGUAAAUGUCCCCAAUGUGGCUUUAGUGAUGUCAUCUAGGAUGCUUGUUGUAAUGGAUGAUUCUUUUAGAAAGGGUCAUGGAUGAAAUAACAUGGAAAUUUGUAAACUUGGUCAAACUAUGGGCCUGGUACGUCAAAAUAAUUGAGUCGUGUAAGUUUGUUGUGCUA